rnacentral:snoRNA from 2 species
AAAACUGUGCUUUCAGGGAUCAUUUCUAUAGUUUGUUACUAGAGAAGUUUCUCUGAAUGGGUAAAAAUAACUUCAUCUUUCUUGGGA